AACAUGGCAGAAUGAUGACGUUCGUUUUUAAUAAUUGGAUCAACCGCCGUCAAUUGACAGCUGUCUGUUUCACUGACGAAAACCAGAUCCAAAUAUCUGUUGUUUUGAUUCGGAAGAUCACAAACUUGAUAUAUGCCGGCUGUCAAGAGUGCGUGAAUAAUCGUGGACUCAGAUUCCGAACUAUGUUCAGGUUUUCCAGGUUUUUCCAGGUAGUUGCCACCCUGUAUUACAUUGAUUCCACUGAUUCCAAAUUGAAUUUGGCAGAUUAAAAUCUCCAACCACGACAAGUGAAUCAUCUUUCGUAACGGAUUUGCUGGUUUCGAUUACAAAGGAGCUACUGCAUAUUCUUCUGCUCGAAAACGAGAGUGAACGGCAAUCAGCACUCUGCCGCCCGACAGCUUUGAACUAUUCGUUUGGUUUCUAAUCACAGCGAAACACAUCAAAACAGGACGGGAACAGCAUACUGCUGGGAAUAUUUUCAUCGAGCAUCUGCUGGGUACGUGAUAACUCUUCAUUUCUGCUAUUGGGAGUGAUGCGGGAGACAAUUUAAAGGCGAACGGGAAGAUCUGUGUUCGAGAUUGUGUUCGGUUUGCGGAAUACAAUUCGGAUUGAUCAUUGUCUUGGUUGCAUGCUGGCAAGCGGUGUGAGAAAUCUAUCUCGACCGGACUCCUCUGCAGUGUCCGUUCGAAAUGGUUGUGUAUCAGCAUUAUUUAUAAACUCACGGAAAUAAAUGCCUUUUUGCCAGCUCGAGGGCUGUAACGCUUUUUCUUUGAAACGCAUAUCUAUUCCCACCU